rnacentral:rRNA from 1 species
GGCUUUGGGAUAACCCCGGGAAACCGGGGCUAAUACCGAAUAUGACCUCUGACCGCAUGGUUGGUGGUGGAAAGUUUUUCGGCUUGGGAUGGGCUCGCGGCCUAUCAGCUUGUUGGUGGGGUGAUGGCCUACCAAGGCGACGACGGGUAGCCGGCCUGAGAGGGCGACCGGCCACACUGGGACUGAGACACGGCCCAGACUCCUACGGGGAGGCAGCAGUGGGGGAAUAUUGCACAAUGGGCGGAAGCCUGAUGCAGCGACCCCCGCGUGAGGGAUGACGGCCUUUCGGGUUGUAAACCUCUUUCAGCAGGGACGAAGCGUAAGUGACGGUACCUGCAGAAGAAGCGCCGGCCAACUACGUGCCAGCAGCCGCGGUAAGACGUAGGGCGCGAGCGUUGUCCGGAUUUAUUGGG